rnacentral:rRNA from 1 species
CACAAUGGGGGAAACCCUGAUGCAGCAACGCCGCGUGAGUGAUGACGGUCUUCGGGUUGUAAAACUCUGUCUUUGGGGACGAUAAUGACGGUACCCAAGGAGGAAGCCACGGCUAACUACGUGCCAGCAGCCGCGGUAAUACGUAGGUGGCAAGCGUUGUCCGGAUUUACUGGGCGUAAAGGGAGCGUAGGUGGAUAUUUAAGUGGGAUGUGAAAUACUCGGGCUUAACCUGGGUGCUGCAUUCCAAACUGGAUAUCUAGAGUGCAGGAGAGGAAAGGAGAAUUCCUAGUGUAGCGGUGAAAUGCGUAGAGAUUAGGAAGAAUACCAGUGGCGAAGGCGCCUUUCUGGACUGUAACUGACACUGAGGCUCGAAAGCGUGGGGAGCAAACAGGAUUAGAUACCCUGGUAGUC